rnacentral:lncRNA from 12 species
GGGCCACAACCGAGGAAGCAGCGCCCACCCGGCUCCCCCGGCUGGAAAGCCCCGAAUUGAGGACACCACCUCCAGGAUCACGCUCCUCUGGCCCUGGGUUCAGAGCAUGACAUCAAUGUAGGGAGCCUCGGCCGGGUUGCCACUAGGACUCAGACCCGGUCACACUGAAUCAGGGAUUGCCAGGUCCUGGCUCCCUGGACGGCCUUGUCCCGGGUUCUCCCAUCGCUAGAAACAUUUUACUGGUAACAUUACUUGAGUUGAGAAGAUCCAUGUUCUUCCUAGGCGUUUCAGCCCCAUUCAGACAGCUGGGUGGCCUACCAAGCGUUGCCUGGGAGAAUUUUUUGUCACUUGAAAAAAGGAGUCCAUUCAUUCUCUACAAUUUCUAUAGCAUAUCUUAAUUAAAAUGCCAAGAAGAUAUACCCUAAGAAUGGAGACCAGAGCACUGGGGGCUGUGCAAAUCAUGAAUGGCCUAAUUUACUAUGCAUUGGGGUUUCUUUGUUUUGCAUUAUUUGUCUCAGAAGAGGACAGGAAACAAACUGGUCAUAUCCCUGUUGUUGUUACACUAAUUUACAUAUUUUGGUCAGCACCAUUUUUCAUCAGCUCAGGAUCCACCAGUGUACACGUACAGAAGCGUCCUACAAAAUACAAGGUGAUCCUGGUUCAUAAGCCUCUCUAACCCCAUAAAUGGUCAUAGG